rnacentral:ncRNA from 1 species
GCUAGGGGAGCCGAUUGCUGAGAUUGAGAUUUUCGUUCUUCAAAAACGAAAUUUCUGACCCUUACCACUUGACCCGGAUAAUACCGGCGUAAGGAAGCAGA